rnacentral:lncRNA from 1 species
UAGUUCUUCCGAGAAGGAAUGUGAAGUUGUGAAGGGGGAGUUUUCAGGAGCAGUGUAAAAAAUUACGCCUUCAGUCGAAUGUUCAUGAAACUCACGGUACUAGCACCUUCGCCGACUGGUGGGAUAUCUACACCAAAUAUUUCUUCGGCCCGUCGGUCGAAAAGAUCACAAAUAAAAUUUUCAAUGCUCGACUGAAGAAAACACCUGCUCCAAAAUCCAAAGAGACAGCCCAAGGUACUAUAUAUUUUUACUGUAUUGCUUGUAUAUACAUUUAAACAAACAUCUUUGAAUUAAUACUUCAUUAGUUUUUUCAGCUAGUCACUCAAUUAAACAUGCCGAAGUGGUUGCAAUCCUUGUGGCCCAGAGAAAACUGGCCUUUCAACCAAAAACGAUUGUUGCUAUCGUGGCUGCUUCUCCCAUAUAACUUAGGCCCUUCCAACCCCCACAAACGAUGUUGCUGAAAAGGCCACUACCACCUUGACCAUUUGUCGUAAGGUGGCUUUGACUUCACCUAGGCCAGUAGACACUGCUACUGGGUCAACAACCGCAGUCAAACGAGCUCAUCCUUUGACCAAGGAAACUGGUGUCAUAGCUCAACCCUCAAAAUGGGUGAAGAGAAUGGCUAAGAAAAAAGAACAUGAGAUUCUCGUUAUCUUGAGCUAAGACACAAGAACCAGUAUUCCUAAAGUCGCUCAAGGUAUCCAUAGGAACUCUACUAGACUUUCCAGCCUCAUCUGCUGAUCAACUCCCCACUUCAUAACCUGUCGACUUGGUUGAUCAGUUGGUACAAAACCUGACAGUCGAGGAACAAGUAGUUCAUCAAGUGAUCGAUCCCCAACUUGAC